CAUUAUUAAAAUUUUAAUGUUUACAUAAGAAUUUACCCUAAAGUGGUUGCAUUAAUGCACUUUUUAUUCAACAUGAACAGACUACAGCAGUCAAUACAAUAAAGUCCAACUCUACAGACUCUACAGUCAGUGAGUAUUGAGUAACCAGAAAAAACA